rnacentral:rRNA from 1 species
GCGGCAGGCUUAACACAUGCAAGUCGAACGAACGUAGCAAUACGUUAGUGGCGCACGGGUGAGUAACGCGUGGAUAUCUGCCUUUUGGUUCGGGAUAACCUUGGGAAACUAGGGCUAAUACCGAAUGGUUCCUACGGGAUAAAGAUUUAUCGCCAAAAGAUGAGUCCGCGUCCGAUUAGCUAGUUGGUGUGGUAAUGGCGCACCAAGGCGACGAUCGGUAGCUGGUCUGAGAGGACGAUCAGCCACACUGGGACUGAGACACGGCCCAGACUCCUACGGGAGGCAGCAGUGGGGAAUAUUGGACAAUGGGGGCAACCCUGAUCCAGCCAUGCCGCGUGAGUGAUGAAGGCCUUCGGGUUGUAAAGCUCUUUUGGCGGGGACGAUGAUGACGGUACCCGCAGAAUAAGCCCCGGCUAACUUCGUGCCAGCAGCCGCGGUAAGACGAAGGGGGCAAGCGUUGUUCGGAAUUACUGGGCGUAAAGCGAGUGUAGGUGGUUGUCAUAGUCAGGCGUGAAAGCCUUGAGCUCAACUCAAGAACUGCGCUUGAUACUGGGCAGCUAGAGGACCGGAGAGGAUAGUGGAAUUCCCAGUGUAGUGGUGAAAUACGUAGAGAUUGGGAAGAACACCAGUGGCGAAAGCGGCUAUCUGGACCGUUUCUGACACUGAGACUCGAAAGCGUGGGGAGCAAACAGGAUUAGAUACUCUGGUAGUCCACGCCGUAAACGAUGGAUGCUAGACGUUGGCAAGCUUGCUCGUCAGUGUCGCAGCUAACGC